rnacentral:lncRNA from 1 species
CGUCCCGAUGCUAAUUGAGAUCUGGUCAUUUAAGACCAGAUAAGAAGAAGGGAACCUUACCGGCGACCCCUUCGCGCUCCCGCGACCCCACCAAGAGUGGAGGGAAACCCUCACUCAAAAAAAAGAAAAAGAAAAAAGGAGAGGAGAGUUAAAAAGGAAAGCGACGAACUACAUCAGCGACGAAUGGAAAAUGAAUCGCAUCGAAGAUGCGAGAAACCUCAUCUCAGCGAGGACUGGAGUUCUUAUCAAAAUCCCCAGCCUUCAAGGAAGCUCUCAACACAGACCAGAGAUAAGACGGCUUCCUCGGGGUGACGAGAAGCUCGGGCCUCUGAGCUCGAACUCUGAAAGGGGGUGUCAAACCC